ACCUGAUUGACGAUGGAUCACCAGUGAGUGGCGGACGGGUGAGUAACACGUAGGUAACCUGCCCCGGAGCGGGGGAUAACAUUUGGAAACAGAUGCUAAUACCGCAUAACAACAAAAGCCACAUGGCUUUUGUUUGAAAGAUGGCUUUGGCUAUCACUCUGGGAUGGACCUGCGGUGCAUUAGCUAGUUGGUAAGGUAACGGCUUACCAAGGCGAUGAUGCAUAGCCGAGUUGAGAGACUGAUCGGCCACAAUGGAACUGAGACACGGUCCAUACUCCUACGGGAGGCAGCAGUAGGGAAUCUUCCACAAUGGGCGCAAGCCUGAUGGAGCAACACCGCGUGAGUGAAGAAGGGUUUCGGCUCGUAAAGCUCUGUUGUUGGAGAAGAACGUGCGUGAGAGUAACUGUUCACGCAGUGACGGUAUCCAACCAGAAAGUCACGGCUAACUACGUGCCAGCAGCCGCGGUAAUACGUAGGUGGCAAGCGUUAUCCGGAUUUAUUGGGCGUAAAGCGAGCGCAGGCGGUUGCUUAGGUCUGAUGUGAAA
rnacentral:rRNA from 1 species